ACCCCACCCUCAAACUCCCAGAUCACCCCCCCAGUAGGCGGGGCCUCGUCAGGAGGCGGGGUUGAGAUUGGCGGGAAAUCUUGGGCGGGGAGUGCCCGCGGCGGCUGAGAGCUUCGGGGCGGCCACUACAAAAUCGCCCUUCUCGGAUCCUCAGUGAUUAUUACCUGUGUAUUGCCGAUUCCCUCCAGUUUCUCACCGCUCGGCUGAUACACCUGAAAUCGUUCGAGACGACGCCUGCGACUACAGUGGCUGAGAGUCCACUUUCUUUAUACUUUCACCAGCACUGGAUAGGGUAUGGCUCUCUUAUUCCACAGAAGUAAAUAAUUGCAUUUCUUCAGAUCAACUUGAAUCUAAACCUGAGCUCCCAUCCUGCCAUGCUGGUGGGUAAGUCCGUCUCGGUUACUGAGCAUUUCCUCUCCAUCUAGGAUUGUACAAAGUUUCUAGGGCCUUAAUUAUCAUGGAAAUACCUGGAAAUUAUUUAGUUGUCUGUCCACAUUGAUUUACUGCUAAGAUUCCCUUUUAUGCCAUCUUCCCUUCAGGUCUCAUGACUCUGAUACUCCUUUACCACCCUUGGAAUCAAAUGAGUGAAUCUAGCAGCCCAAGCACCCAGGUGCAGCCUUCCCCUUUGAGGUUUUGCCACCAUCCUGGGUUCUGUCACAGAGCAAGACAGAAGACUUAGCUGCUUACUCAACAUUUGAGCUUCAGACUUCUAAGUCUUAAGGAAUCUGUCUUCCACCUCACCUUCAAAGGCAUUUCUGUCCUUUGUUUCUCCUCCUUAUUUCAAAAGACAACAAGAGCCUAUGUUUUGCUUUUUGCCUUACAAAAAUAUGAGGGUCUGGAUACUUGCUUGAAUGGGGGUGAGGGGCAGGGGGAUACAUAGAAUUAAUAUCUCAACAAAAU